rnacentral:rRNA from 1 species
AGUGAACGCUGGCGGUAGGCCUAACACAUGCAAGUCGAACGGCAGCACAGUAAGAGCUUGCUCUUACGGGUGGCGAGUGGCGGACGGGUGAGGAAUACAUCGGAAUCUACUUUUUCGUGGGGGAUAACGUAGGGAAACUUACGCUAAUACCGCAUACGACCUACGGGUGAAAGCAGGGGAUCUUCGGACCUUGCGCGAUUGAAUAAGCCGAUGUCGGAUUAGCUAGUUGGCGGGGUAAAGGCCCACCAAGGCGACGAUCCGUAGCUGGUCCGAGAGGAUGAUCAGCCACACUGGAACUGAGACACGGUCCAGACUCCUACGGGAGGCAGCAGUGGGGAAUAUUGGACAAUGGGCGCAAGCCUGAUCCAGCCAUACCGCGUGGGUGAAGAAGGCCUUCGGGUUGUAAAGCCCUUUUGUUGGGAAAGAAAAGCAGCAGGUUAAUACCCCGCUGUUCUGACGGUACCCAAAGAAUAAGCACCGGCUAACUUCGUG